UGACUUUAGAUUACACGGUUUGCACGGUUCGCACCUCAAGUUCGCGUGACAUUAUGAGUUAGCAUGUAAGGCACUCGUACCCUUCUAUAAGAUUGCACAAUGUGAAUUCGCACACCAUCACAUAUCCACUUUAUGCAUAAUAGCCCACUUUGCCACAAUCUUGGCAUACACCUGGCAUCGUCCCUCUUGGCGCAAACCCAUA
rnacentral:lncRNA from 1 species